rnacentral:rRNA from 1 species
CCUACGGGAGGCAGCAGUAAGGAAUAUUGGACAAUGGGCGCAAGCCUGAUCCAGCCAUGCCGCGUGCAGGAUUAAGGCCCUAUGGGUUGUAAACUGCUUUUAGUAGGGAAAAAACCCUCGUUCGUGAACGAGGCUGAUGGUACCUACAGAAUAAGGAUCGGCUAACUCCGUGCCAGCAGCCGCGGUAAUACGGAGGAUCCAAGCGUUAUCCGGAUUUAUUGGGUUUAAAGGGUGCGUAGGUGGAUUAAUAAGUCAGUGGUGAAAGCCUGCAGCUCAACUGUAGAACUGCCAUUGAUACUGUUAGUCUUGAAUGUAGUUGAGGUGGGCGGAAUAUGACAUGUAGCGGUGAAAUGCUUAGAUAUGUCAUAGAACACCGAUUGCGAAGGCAGCUCACUAAGCUAUAAUUGACACUGAGGCACGAAAGCGUGGGGAGCAAACAGGAUUAGAUACCCUGGUAGUCCACGCCCUAAACUAUGAUUACUCGAUGUUGGCGAUACACUGUCAGCGUCUAAGCGAAAGCGUUAAGUAAUCCACCUGGGGAGUACGCCCGCAAGGUGAAACUCAAAUGAAUUGACGG